GGAAGGGGAGGGAAAAGGGGAGGAGGAGGAGGAUGUGAGACUGGGUUAGAGAAAUGAAAGAAAGCAAGGCUUUCCGUUGACAUUCAGUGCAGUCUCCCUGCAGCACAGCACACUCCCCUUGGGCAAGGACCUGAGACCCUUGUGCUAAGUCAAGAGGCUCAAUGGGCUGCAGAAGAACUAGAGAAGGACCAAGCAAAGCCAUGAUAUUUCCAUGGAAAUGUCAGAGCACCCAGAGGGACUUAUGUAACAUCUUCAAGUUAUGGGGGUGGACAAUGCUCUGUUGUGAUUUCCUGGCACAUCAUGGAACUGACUGCUGGACUUACCAUUAUUCUGAAAAACCCAUGAACUGGCAAAGGGCUAGAAGAUUCUGCCGAGAGAAUUACACAGAUUUAGUUGCCAUACAAAACAAGGCGGAAAUUGAGUAUCUGGAGAAGACUCUGCCUUUCAGUCGUUCUUACUACUGGAUAGGAAUCCGGAAGAUAGGAGGAAUAUGGACGUGGGUGGGAACCAACAAAUCUCUCACUGAAGAAGCAGAGAACUGGGGAGAUGGUGAGCCCAACAACAAGAAGAACAAGGAGGACUGCGUGGAGAUCUAUAUCAAGAGAAACAAAGAUGCAGGCAAAUGGAACGAUGACGCCUGCCACAAACUAAAGGCAGCCCUCUGUUACACAGCUUCUUGCCAGCCCUGGUCAUGCAGUGGCCAUGGAGAAUGUGUAGAAAUCAUCAAUAAUUACACCUGCAACUGUGAUGUGGGGUACUAUGGGCCCCAGUGUCAGUUUGUGAUUCAGUGUGAGCCUUUGGAGGCCCCGGAGCUGGGUACCAUGGACUGUACUCACCCUUUGGGAAACUUCAGCUUCAGCUCACAGUGUGCUUUCAACUGCUCUGAGGGAACAAACUUAACUGGAAUUGAAGAAACCACUUGUGGACCAUUUGGAAACUGGUCAUCUCCAGAACCAACCUGUCAAGUGAUUCAGUGUGAGCCUCUAUCAGCACCAGAUUUGGGGAUCAUGAACUGUAGCCAUCCCCUGGCCAGCUUCAGCUUUACCUCCGCAUGUACCUUCAUCUGCUCAGAAGGAACUGAGUUAAUUGGGAAGAAGAAAACCAUUUGUGAAUCAUCUGGAAUCUGGUCAAAUCCUAGUCCAAUAUGUCAAAAAUUGGACAAAAGUUUCUCAAUGAUUAAGGAGGGUGAUUAUAACCCCCUCUUCAUUCCGGUAGCAGUCAUGGUUACUGCAUUCUCUGGGUUGGCAUUUAUCAUUUGGCUGGCAAGGAGAUUAAAAAAAGGUAUGUGAGUUUAACUUCAUAUGAAAAGAACACAACUUUAAAGUGAAAAAGAAAAAAAAAAGAAA
rnacentral:sRNA from 1 species